ACCCUGUUAGCUCAAUAGGUAGAGUGUUGGACUUUUAAUCCAACGGUUACGGGUUCGAGUCCCGUGCAGGGUG